CAUGGUAAACAAAAUCAAAUUUUCACCUAUCAAGUGGAUAGUACCUUUCUCGAUUUCCUCCAUUGCACCUAGCAUGCCCCUAUGCUUUACUUCACUUAUCACCAGAAUUGGUGAAUCUAUGGGUUUGCUUGAAAUAAAUGAAGUAGAGUACAUACAGGAUGAUAGAUCUAUUUUAGGUGUUUAAAUGUUUAGGAGUGCUAAUUUGAUUAAGAGAGAUCCCAGAAAUGGCCUUAAAAUUAUUUAUGGGAACCAUCCCAUUGAGGUCUCUCUACCCAAACCUUUGGUUGUAUAAUGCUUCAUCACUAACCCUGAGGCUAGGAAGAGAGAAUAGAGCCAACCCUAUUGCAGGAACAGAUAGAAUGACAAGAGCACGGUCCCGUGCUGCUCAAUAGCAAGCUGGUCCCUCUUAUGCUACACCAUAAGAGGAGGAUAAGGUGAGCUCCAUGCACACGGAAACACCUCAUCACUCCAGGACGUCUUCAGCAACGCGCACCCCUUGCCCUCGUGGUACGGGGAGGCGCCAACCACCGUCUGAAAUGGAGACACACAUCAGUGAUAUGGAGAACAUCAACAUCGGACAGCAGACCACCUUGCAGCUCAUGCAAGAGGACUUGGACAUGGCCCAAAGCCUCCAAGCUGAGAGUGAGUACCAAUGGGACUAGUGGUUUGGUUAUCAACCACCCAAGGGAGGAAGAAGGCAAGCUUGGGGGAGAUUCUCUCCCCCACUGAAGUAAGUUUAUCCAAGGUGAGUUUCCAACCCCCCUAAUUUAAUUCUAGUUUUAUUACAUUUUGUUUGUUUCCUUCUUGCAUAAAAUAAAAUAAAAAAAUAUUUGCUUUAUUUCCUUUUUUUAUAUAUGCUUCAUGUGUGCUAUCCUUCCUAUGGAAAUGAUGAUGAAAUUGCUAGUCAAUGUCUUUCUAGUACUUGUUUACAACUUAGCAUUUCUCUAAGUAUGGACUACUUAGCAUUCUUAACCAUCAUGAACUUGAACACUUAGUGGGUUGCAAGUGCUAAAACAAAGAAUAAGUUGUUGUGAGACAUGAUAUAGCUAAGAUAAGAGAUCUAUACUAUUUUUCUAAGCAUGCAUGAUUGCCAGAGAAUUUAUUUUUUAUAGAUGAAUAAAAACUUAAUUGUUCUUCAAUGGUGUUAAAUUCCUACCACAAGCCAUAUAUACUCUACAUGAUAGAAACCCAGCACAUAGGCUGCUUGCUUGUGUUGAGAGUUGUCAACUCUUGUGGACCCUUGGUUUAGAGUUGUAUCAUGCUCAAUGAGAUCAAGAUCCACACCAUCCACAUACAUCUGCUGCUCUUACACUAGGAGUAUGCAACAUUCCAUACCAUUCCAUUCCAUUCCACCAAAUAUAGAUGCUCCAUGCUCUAAGUGUAGAAUCUCUCUAAUAACUAGAUGUUAGAUGAGACACAAAGCAAAGGCUAUAGGAAAAUAAUCAUCUUGAAGGACAUCAUCAAGUCCUUGAAAAAAAGAGAAAAAAAUGCUAGCCUUGUCUCUAUAGAAAGAAAAAAAUUAAAGAGAGCACAAUCAAAUAAAGGGGCCAUCUAGCCAUCAUACUCAUACCACCUUUCCACAAAUAUAUCCUGAUCUCGAGCAUGACACUACUCUUCCUCCAAGGAUCUGAGGUUUGACUUCACAACAUAUGCAAUGUAAGUAUGCCAUCCCCUUGUUCCUACCUUGAGCUCCACAUACGCCAUUAUUAUAGUUGGAUUACAUAGAGAAGGCAACUUACUCAUGUGCCUCGGUAAGGAUUUAUACACCACUUGAGUGACUUGAGAGAAACCAUAUGAGGAACAUUAAGAUUUCUUUUGAAAAACUUAGCAAAAACCUCUGGCAUGAAACUUGCUAAAAGAAUGAGAAAAGUAGAUGUCUAGUCAAAGCUGUUCUAUCUCUCAACAUCCCAAGACUGAGUUAAUGCUAUAAGCCCCAUGGGUGCUAAAGUAACAUUGGUGUGUUAGCAUUACUAAGUUUUCCAUUCAAGGAGAAGCUCUUUGUUGUGCACAUAGUACUAUUAAGAUGUUCACUUAGUGAUAAUACCUGAUCCGAUCGAACCAAGUCUUGAUUGUUUGCUUGUGGGGGUAUAAACCCCUAUACCCUUACGGCUAGACUUGGGCCAUGAGAUUUGGCCCAUUACGAGGCAGUUCAAGGCUUGAUCUAACUACUA
rnacentral:lncRNA from 1 species